GCCAGCCUGGCCAGCAUGUUGAAACCCCGGUCUCUACUAAAAAUACAAACAAUUAUCCUAAAAAUACAGGAUGCCUGUAAUCCCAGCUACACGAGAGGCUGAGGCAGAAGAAUCACUUGAGCCUGGGAGGUGGAGAGUGUAGUGAGCAGAGACUGAGCCACUGCACUCCAGCCUGGGCAACAAGAGUGAAACUCUAUCUGAAAAAAAAAAAAAGAAAGAAAGAAAGAAGAGGGAGAGCGGGAGAGUGAUGAUCAUGGGUACAUAUGGCUUUUUGGAGCUCAAAAGAGUCAGAAGAACUGAACAUAAGGGAGAAAACAGCAGCAGAAGAAGGGAAGGCAGUGAACUGUGACUGUUAACUCACAUGAAACUGAAAUUCAACAAUUUUAAGGUUUUUACCACCAGUGACUUAAUACAUGUUAGAAAGGUUACAUUUGUAAGUGAAGGCAGAGCUGGCAGCUCUCUCUCAUGCACUGCCUCUCAUCUUACCCUGCAGGUCUCCUUCUCCUCUCCCAUCUCCAGUAGGUGUUAGUGCCCCCCAGACACAUCCAAGGCCAGGCCAGGGACUUUUGCUAAUGGAGGUAAGUGACCUCUCACAGAAAAUGGGAUUCAACUGAAGGAGUAAAGAUCAACAAUCAAAACUUCCAUGACUGGCAUCCCAGUCGGUUCACAGGAUGGAUUAACCACUCCAGACAUCCUGAGAAGGGGUCUGAAGACCUUCCCGGGCUGUCCAAGUGCCACACGGCACAAACAAGGCCAAGAACUCUGCGCAUGCAGACGUCUGAUGUUGUUGCUGGGAUCACAGGCAUAAUAGUAUUAAUUCAUAAGCCACUGCAAACAUAUCACUUCAUUUAGUCCUCACCACAACGUGUGAAUAAAACCUCGUGGUUUGGAAACCACGAAGUCAUGAUGGACACCGUCAUCAAGUUGAGACACCUUUCUCUUCGUGGUUUGCCAGGAGUUUCCAUCAUGAGAUUCCAUCAGGAUACAGCCCUGCAUUUAGUUAUUUUUCAUGAUCUUUGGAGUUUUGAGAAAUAUUGGCCAGGUAUUUUGCAGAAUUUCUUCAGUUUGGGUUUGUCUGAUGAGUUUUUCGUCAUGAAAUUGGGGUUAUGUUUUA